AGUGAACGCUGGCGGUAGGCCUAACACAUGCAAGUCGAACGGCAGCACAGGAGAGCUUGCUCUCUGGGUGGCGAGUGGCGGACGGGUGAGGAAUACAUCGGAAUCUACUCUGUCGUGGGGGAUAACGUAGGGAAACUUACGCUAAUACCGCAUACGACCUACGGGUGAAAGCAGGGGACCUUCGGGCCUUGCGCGAUUGAAUGAGCCGAUGUCGGAUUAGCUAGUUGGCGGGGUAAAGGCCCACCAAGGCGACGAUCCGUAGCUGGUCUGAGGGAAUGAUCAGCCACACUGGAACUGAGACACGGUCCAAACUCCUCCGGGAGGCAGCAGUGGGGAAUAUUGGACAAUGGGCGCAAGCCUGUUCCAGCCAUACCGCGUGGGUGAAGAAGGCCUUCGGGUUGUAAAGCCCUUUUGUUGUGAAAGAAAUCCAGCUGGCUAAUACCCGGUUGGGAUGACGGUACCCAAAGAAUAAGCACCGGCUAACUUCGUGCCAGCCGCCGCCGUAA
rnacentral:rRNA from 1 species